ACACACGGGACCAGACGCUUGCUUUAGUUGACGCAUGAAGACCGGUCCGGUCUUUUGCGGAGAAAAGUGGUUAAAAGCUGACUUGUGGGCCGAGAAACUGUGGCACCCUAAUGAGCUAGGGCUAGACGCUUCGACCACCACGCCAAGUGAUUCUGAAGAUCUCUAAUUCUGUCAAGGCGAGAGCGCUCCAACACGUGUUCAUCGGCUGUUGCUUUUUAAAGAGAAGGCAAGGAGGAAGUCUUGCUUUUCUUGUACUUUUUUUCCUAGAAGCAGCAUUAAAGAUUUACUCCUUAUGUUGAGGAAGCGGAAAGCCUCUUCACUUUAAAAGUGUUUAUGAUCGGGCCUGGCGCGGUGACUCACCGCGCCCGGCCUGCUACACCUUUUAAAAUUCACAGCAAUGAUAAAUGUAUUAGACUCAUUGCCAGGAUAAAGAUUUAAUCUAUU
rnacentral:lncRNA from 1 species